rnacentral:rRNA from 1 species
CGGCACGGGUGAGUAACACGUAUCCAACCUGCCGUCUACUCUUGGCCAGCCUUCUGAAAGGAAGAUUUAAUCCAGGAUGGCAUCAUGAGUUCACAUGUCCGCAUGAUUAAAGGUAUUUUCCGGUAGACGAUGGGGAUGCGUUCCAUUAGAUAGUAGGCGGGGUAACGGCCCACCUAGUCAACGAUGGAUAGGGGUUCUGAGAGGAAGGUCCCCCACAUUGGAACUGAGACACGGUCCAA